AACUUCAGGAGGUUUAUUUAAUUUUUAGGGGUACAAAAAAGUCUAAAAACAUCAUGUCUAUACAAUAUAAGUUAUACCUCAUAUUUGGCAAAUAACAUACCGGUUGACAAAGAAAAAAAGAUGACUGGCAGUAACUUAUACCAAGUAUCACUAUGCUCAUGCCUGUGCUCAUAUUGAGUUUCAACAGUGCAAACAGGUAUUUACUUGGUUGCUGUUGUUCUAAUGCAUACACAGAAAACAAUUCAGUGCAUAGAGGUGACUCACUAAUAGUUUAGAGAAAAAAUUACAGAUGCCUCUGCUAUGGCCCGUGAUUGGGAGGUGGUCUAGACUUUAGUCCACUCCAGUCACCAUCUCUGCCUGGGAGCCAGAGGAGGACAAAGUUUAUUUACCAUUCAAAACAAAAUAUUCCCUGGAGAAUCUCUGGAUUCUCUGACUAUCUAACCAUAGUCUGGUUAUCUUAUUUUGGAUGCCUGUAUUACAUUACACAGGAAAGGACAUGCCUUUUGCCAGCUGCUAGGUGAAAAGAGGUAACCAAGCCAGCUAUAAAGGCUGGACUUUCCCAUUCCUUUGCACCACAAAAUAACUACGAUUGCAAAAACUGAGGCUGAUGGAACAUCCACUAGCCUGAACUGUCUGAACAUGGACAUGAAUAUUGCUGAUCCCUCAAUGCUGGAUGAAGACAAAAAUUUGAAACUGACAACCAGGGCAGCGUCAGCCCCAGCCCUUCUUUAUAUUUUCAACUUUUGCCUCAGCGUUAAAGAACAAAUACUUUAACAUUUUAAAGCAGGAUUACUAAAAGCACAGCUUUUGGGGAAAAUAUCAUAGAACUGGGAUUUUUGAAGUAAUUUAGAUCAAUUUAUAGAGAUGGACAGAUGACAAAAUGGAGGUACAAGGGCUGCCCAGAGAAGCUGUGGAUGCCCCAUCCCUGGAGGAGUUUAAGGCCAGGUUGGAUGAGGCCCUGGGCAACCUGAUCUAGUGGGUGGCAUCCCUGCCUACGGCAGUGGGGUUAGAACUAAAUAAGCUUUAAGAUGCCUUCCAACCCAAGCCGUUCUAUGAUUCUAUGACUAUCCCAGUUUCCUCACACUCUUUUCUUUAUUCCUGUAUCUCGCUGAGUUGACCAUCACUGAACAGCAAUCUAUUCAAUAAACCAGAUACUUUCAAAUCCUAGCUUAAAACAAAUUACUGCAAUAUCCUCCACCACCAAGGAAAAUAAUUUUUUUUCCCCCCUAAUAAUUACCCACUAUUUUUUUCUGUGUGUGGAUCAGGGCAUUACACAACUUAUUAAGGAAAUGGAUGAAAAGCUCUACAGCUACGUUUUGUAAUACCAUUAAAGAAUAACCUUUUAUAACUGUCACCUGUCUUCUACUUCAAAGCAGGCACUCUUUGAGGCUCCCCAGUGUUGCUGUUUGUUUUGCAAGUUGUGUGGCAGAGAGGCCCAAGCAAUGAAGAAUGAGAAGAGAAAAAAGCAUCUUCAUCAAGUAUCCUAUCCUAAAUUAGCUGGAGAGUUAUCAGAAGGCUAUUUCCAAACCACAGAAGCAGUGGCACAUUGAUCACCUACAGUAAAAGGACCUUAAACUGAGAUUAUGCUAUGCCUUCUUCAUUUACAGGAAAAUGCUGAUUCUAGAAAAUUUUACAGGUAAACACUGACCUUAAUACACUAGUUUUGAAAUUGAAAGCAGCUUUCGUAAUUAAAUAUGUAACAUUGACAAAGAUGCCACAGUACCAAGAGCUGAAGUAACCUGAAAUAAUUAGCUGGAGAAUUCUCUCAUGGACUAAGGUAGAAAUUAAAAAAACACUGUUCAGUAAUGUUCUUCCACCACUCUCACUGCUACUUAUUUCAGCUCACAAGGAACCCAAUCUCUCCUGUGUCUACAGAUGCACAAAUAACAGGAACAUGUUCCAUUAAACACUGUAUGCCAAAACCUACAUGCAAUUAAGCCUGACCAAACAGUUUCUAGGAACAUGAAGAUAUUUGCUUUCCUGACAAAAAUUUCGCAAACAAAAGCUCCUUACAUAACUACCUAUGCCUUGGGUACAUUUCCAUCAAAAAGAUUCCUUCCCCAGGAAAUAAAAGCGAGCUUCUCCCUCCUCUGACUGAUCAGUAACAUACCUUCAUUUUUGCACAAAGGAAACCACACAAAUACAUUCCUGCAUAACAGAAAAGAAGAAGCUCAGAGUGUUCACUGCUUCCCCACCUCCCCUGGACUGAAAUUAAGCCCAUGCAGAGUCUUUCAGUUCAGGUUCCUCUAUGAAAAUGAGGAAAAACACCUGUGGGUAUGCAAAUGAAAUCAUUCUGCCCUAAGAGGUGCUGCAUUUGAGAAUGGGAAGAUGGAUUUUGGUGAUGCUGACAAUAGGUUGCUAUGCUUCUGUGACCAGCUGAGAUCCAUUUCUCCACCACAGUUAAUAAUAAAAAACUGUAUUCUUUAACG